UGGAUCCAGACUUUGAUUCUGGCUCAGGAUAAACGCUGGCGGCGCACAUAAGACAUGCAAGUCGAACGGAAGUCGUUAUAUCAGAGUCUGAUUGAAAGGUUUAUCUGAAUUGAAGACGACUUUAUAACAAUGGCUUUAGUGCCGGACUGGUGAGUAACGCGUAAGCAAUCUGCCUAUUAGAGGGGAAUAACAGUGAGAAAUCAUUGCUAAUACCGCAUAUGCCAUGAAUAUCGCAUGAUAAAAAUGGGAAAGGAGUAAUCCGCUAAUAGAUGAGCUUGCGUCUGAUUAACUAGUUGGUGGGGUAAUGGCCUACCAAGGUAACGAUCAGUAGCCGGACUGAGAGGUUGAACGGCCACAUUGGGACUGAGAUACGGCCCAGACUCCUACGGGAGGCAGCAGUCGGGAAUAUUGCGCAAUGGAGGAAACUCUGACGCAGUGACGCCGCGUAUAGGAUGAAGGUUUUCGGAUUGUAAACUAUUGUCGUUAGGGAAGAUAAAAGACAGUACCUAAGGAGGAAGCUCCGGCUAACUACGUGCCAGCAGCCGCGGUAAUACGUAGGGAGCAAGCGUUAUCCGGAUUUAUUGGGUGUAAAGGGUGCGUAGACGGGAAAUUAAGUUAGUUGUGAAAUCCCUCGGCUUAACUGAGGAACUGCGACUAAAACUGGUUUUCUUGAGUGCAGGAGGGGAAAGAGGAAUUCCUAGUGUAGCGGUGAAAUGCGUAGAUAUUAGGAGGAACACCAGUGGCGAAGGCGUCUUUCUGGACUGUAACUGACGUUGAGGCACGAAAGUGUGGGGAGCAAACAGGAUUAGAUACCCUGGUAGUCCACACCGUAAACGAUGGAUACUAGGUGUAGGAUGUGUUAAACAUUCUGUGCCGUCGCUAACGCAGUAAGUAUCCCACCUGGGGAGUACGGCCGCAAGGUUGCAACUCAAA
rnacentral:rRNA from 1 species